rnacentral:rRNA from 1 species
AUUGAACGCUGGCGGCAUGCCUUACACAUGCAAGUCGAACGGCAGCACGGGAGCAAUCCUGGUGGCGAGUGGCGAACGGGUGAGUAAUGUAUCGGAACGUGCCCAGUCGUGGGGGAUAACGUAGCGAAAGCUACGCUAAUACCGCAUACGAUCUAUGGAUGAAAGCGGGGGAUCGCAAGACCUCGCGCGAUUGGAGCGGCCGAUAUCAGAUUAGGUAGUUGGUGGGGUAAAGGCCUACCAAGCCGACGAUCUGUAGCUGGUCUGAGAGGACGACCAGCCACACUGGGACUGAGACACGGCCCAGACUCCUACGGGAGGCAGCAGUGGGGAAUUUUGGACAAUGGGCGCAAGCCUGAUCCAGCAAUGCCGCGUGCAGGACGAAGGCCUUCGGGUUGUAAACUGCUUUUGUACGGAGCGAAAAGGCUCUCUCUAAUACAGGGGGCUCAUGACGGUACCGUAAGAAUAAGCACCGGCUAACUACGUGCCAGCCGCCGCAGUAAAAC